rnacentral:lncRNA from 1 species
AAAGGUCUACAUGUCUAAGAAUACCCUAGGCGGAGGUCGUUCCCCCCUUUGAACUCUCCUAUUGGGAGCUACCUAAGGGCAACUGUAGGUAAGGAGUGUUUACUUUGGUACCUGAACACUACAACUGAGGACCUGAGAGAAAGGAUCACAGUGAAGAUUGCGGUGGUCCACUGUCUAUGAAAGGGGCCAGAAGACACAUAGCUUCUGCAAAAGUCUCCAUAAACAAAUAGAUCAUGUAUUGUCACAAACUCAAAGCUUAGUGCAACCACAAGAUUGGAAGACAAUGCACAGUGGCCCUAUAAAUAGAAACAAGAGUUUCUUUGCUAAGUGUGAAGCUUAGCAGGCUUUAUGUACAACCCAUAGCAUAGUUCUGCAUCAUUAAUCAGAGAGAGAGAGAGAGAGAGAGAGAGACUGAGCACCAGUGAGCUUACUAGCUCAAGCUACCCCCUGGAAAACGGAAAUGUUCAGUGUGCACAGAGGCUUGCGUAUUUCAUUCUGACAUCUCACUACCAUGUUUUCCAACAUGGUAGUGGUUAGAACAGGGAGCUGGAAUUGAUGCAUAUAUCAGUAGCAUCCUUGUUGGAGUGGCUGUCACUUGAAUUUGUUGGAGAUUGCUGGAGAAAACAGAAAGAAACUGAAACGGUGUAAAUGAAAUAAACCAGCCAGAUUCCCCCAUGGCUUCUUCAGAAGACCCUGUUGCUAUGAUUAAGGAGUUUCACCACAAUUGGAGAAAAAACUCUGCCUUUGUUUCCCAUUUUUUAGCUUUCAACACAUAACUGAAAAAGCCUCAGAAAGCUGAUCUAUCCAAGUUAAUCACCUCUGAAGAACUGCGGACUUACUGAGUACUAAAGCAAACCUUUCUUCUAUGUAAGGCAAACGUAAGAAAAAACAGCCUGUCAAACACCUGUAAAGAGAUGGCUAUCAUCAUAUGGAAAUUUGAGGAGCUUCUAUGUGGCACAUUCAUGAUCUAAAUGGGAGAUAAUCAACUGUCAUGAUGUCCCAGAGGGCCUUAUAACAGUAAACAAGAGGGAAAAUUAUAACAGCUUGUUAUCUGUGCUUGCACACUAGACUUCAGUGUAAUUACUAUAAAAAAAAAUCCAAAGCAAAUACGUAAAUAGUUCUUUGAAAAACCCCAGAUUAUGUGUAGAGGCUCAGACCAAUGCAGUAAAAAGGAGGCAAUUUUAUACUCACUCUCUCCAACCCAUUGAUAAUAAGUCCUUUAGAAAGAGUGGCA